rnacentral:rRNA from 1 species
CUCUUAUAGAUUUUAUAGAAUUUGGUUUUUAGGUGAAGAAACCUAAAUAUAAUUAAAAGACAAGAAGACCCUAUCGAGCUUAAAAUAAUUUUUUUGGUAUAAUGAUAACACCUUACUCAAAAAAAGAUUUUGGUUGGGGCGACUAAGGAACAAAAAAAGCUUCCUAUAAGCUGUAGCUACUAAUAAGUAUUGAUCCAAAAAAUUUGAUUAACAGAAUUAGUUACCGUAGGGAUAACAGCAUAAUCUUUUCUGAGAGUCCUUAUCGAAGAAAAGGUUUGUGACCUCGAUGUUGGACUAGGGUACCCAGAUAGGUGCAGAAGCCUUCAAUGGUUGGUCUGUUCGACCA